UACGAAGGGGCUAGCGUUGUUCGGAAUCACUGGGCGUAAAGCGCACGUAGGCGGACUUUAAGUCAGAGGUGAAAUCCCAAGGCUCAACCUUGGAACUGCCUUUGAUACUGGAAGUCUUGAGUUCGGGAGAGGUGAGUGGAACUGCGAGUGUAGAGGUGAAAUUCGUAGAUAUUCGCAAGAACACCAGUGGCGAAGGCGGCUCACUGGCCCGAUACUGACGCUGAGGUGACGAAAGCGUGGGGAGCGAACAGG
rnacentral:rRNA from 1 species